ACUGUGGAUAGGCAAUGGAAACUGGAGAGCUUGAGUGUGGUAGGGGUAGAGGGAAUUCCCCGGUGUANCCGUGAAANGGGNGGNUAUGCGGGAAGAACACCAGUGGCCAAGGCNCUCUACUGGGCCNCNACUGACNCUGAGGGACGAAAGCUAGGGGAGCGAAAGGGAUUAGAUACCCCUGUAGUCCUAGCUGUAAACGAUGGAUACUAGGUGUUGCGCGUAUCGACCCGUGCAGUACCGUAGCUAACGCGUUAAGUAUCCCGCCCUGGGGAGUACGCACGCAAGUGUGAAACUCAAAGGAAUUGACGGGGGCCCGCACAAGCGGUGGAGGAUGUGGUUUAAUUCNAUGCAACGCGAAGAACCUUACCAAGGCUUGACAUGUCGCGAAUCUCUGUGAAAGCGGGGAGUGCCUUCGGGAGCGCGAACACAGGUGGUGCCAUGGCUGUCGUCGCUCGUGUCGUGAGAUGUUGGGUUAAGUCCCGCAACGAGCGCAACCCUCGUUUUUAGUUGCCAGCAUUAAGUUGGGCACUCUAGAGAGACUGCCNUGGACAACACNGAGGAAGGUGGGGACNACGUCAAGUCNUCAUGCCCUUACUCUUGGGNCUACACNCNUCCUACAAUGCUACCGAACAAAGGGCAGCNAGCUACCAUAGCA
rnacentral:rRNA from 1 species